rnacentral:rRNA from 1 species
UGGGUAACCUGCCUCAAAGAGGGGAAUAGCCUCCCGAAAGGGAGAUUAAUACCGCAUAAUAUGUUUAAGUCGCAUGACUUUAACAUCAAAGGAUUUUCUUUUAGAAAAUUCCACUUUGAGAUGGACCCGCGGCGCAUUAGCUAGUUGGUGAGGUAACGGCUCACCAAGGCAACGAUGCGUAGCCGACCUGAGAGGUGAUCGGCCACAUGGAACUGAGACACGGUCCAGACUCCGUAGGAG